ACUGCAGAAUCAUCCCUGUUGUGGAUAUCGCAACAAUUAGAAAAACUACUGACGCUGAAAGUCCAGCGGUUGAUUUGCUGCGCAUUGGUCGGCAGCUGACACAUGCUUGCGCCAACAUCGGCUUCGUGUACAUCACCGGCCACGGGAUACCAGAAAGUCUGAUCGAGAAAGCGUUCAGCAGCACUGGCAAGUUCUUUGAACUGUCCC